rnacentral:rRNA from 1 species
AUGGGUGUUGGCUCCAACAAUUCUCAUUGGUCUCAAACCAAUAACAUGCAUUUCGAUGCUCAUGAGUUUGAGGUGGACGAGGAUGGUGAGGGCAUCGUCGACGCACCGAAAGGAAGAGGAGGCAACUACACCAUGGAUGAAGACAUCUUGCUAUGCAAUACUUGGUUGCAAGUGUCGAGGGAUCCCGCCGUUGGAGGGGAUCAAAGUAGAGAUGCAUGUUGGAACCGGAUGAAGGAGCACUUUGAUCUACACAACAAAAGUGGAAUUGACCGCUCGGAAAGAUCUCUUCGCUCCCGAUGGUCGACAAUCAACCGAGAUUGUCAAAAGUGGGCGGCCGCACUUAAGGCGGUUGACAAGUUAAACCCAAGUGGCACUAAUGAUAUGGAUAGGGUAAGUGCCAUUUCUUCCAUGUUCAUCAUGCUUCUCCUUGGUGUUUGUAGUGCUAACUUGUUUUGUCUUUAUGUAGCUCAAUAUUGCACAAAACUUGUUCAAAGGAGAGGAGAAGAAAGACAAAGAAAGGGAAGAUCAAGAAAGAGAGACCAUUUACCUUGCCUCAUUGCUGUGAAGAAUUGA